rnacentral:tRNA from 1 species
GUGCCUGUGGCUCAAAGGGGUAGGGCGCUGGCCCCAUAUGCCAGAGGUGGCGGGUUCAAACCCAGCCCUGGCCA